rnacentral:rRNA from 1 species
CCUACGGGAGACAGCAGUGGGGAAUAUUGCACAAUGGGGGAAACCCUGAUGCAGCGACGCCGCGUGAGUGAAGAAGGAUUUCGGGAUGUAAAGCUCUAUCAGCAGGGAAGAAAAUGACGGUACGUGAGUAAGAAGCCCCGGCUAACUACGUGCCAGCAGCCGCGGUAAUACGUAGGGGGCAAGCGUUAUCCGGAUUUACUGGGUGUAAAGGGAGCGUAGACGGCAGAACAAGUCGGGAGGGAAAUGCCGGGGCUUAACCCCGGAACUGAGUUGGAAACUGUGCAGCUAGAGUGCAGGAGAGGUAAGUGGCAUUCCUCGUGUAGCGGUGCAAUGCGUAGAUAUUAGGCGGAACACCAGUUGCGACGGCGGCUUACUGGACUGUACCUGACGUUGCGGCUCGAACGCGUGGGGAGCACACAGGAUUAGAUACCCGGGUAGUC